AUGAGCCGCCGCCGUUGCUCGCCGGCGACGGCACCCCCACUGGAAGACGAGGACAUCCUGCAGGAGAUCCUCCUGCGCCUUCCUCCUCAGCCAUCCUCCCUCCCACGUGCGUCCGCCGUAUGCAAGCGCUGGCGCAGCAUCCUCUCUGACCCCCAAUUCGUCCAACGCUUCCGCAAACACCACGGGAAACCCCCGCUAAUCGGCUUCUUCAACCAAAGUUAUACCGUAGUCUGCGACUUCAAUCCCAUCCUGGAAGCGCCUAACCGCGUCCAUGCCAAUCGUCUCUCGGUGCCAAAGAGACAAAGCUCCAUGGGGAAGUGGCGUUUCAUGGGCUGCCGCAACGGCCUUGCCGUCCUGGUCAACGGGGGUCGGCGUGAGGCCGUCGUGUGGGAUCCUCUCACUGGCCAGCAACAUCAUGUGCCUUUUCCACCGGGGCUUCACGACGUUCCAACGAGUAGUUUCUAUGCCUGGCAUGCCGCAGUGCUUUGUGCUAAUGCCGAAGAUGGGCACGUGCACGGAGAUUGCAUCAGGGGGCCGUUCAAAUUGGUCUUGAUCUGCAACAGAUACGAGCAGGCAUUCGCUUCUCUCUAUGACUCCACAUCUCGUGCUUGGGGAGAUAUUUUCUCGACGGCGAUAGAAAAUACAAUUCAUUGGACAAGGUGCAGCAUCCUUGUUGGAAAUGUGCUUUGCUGGGCGAUUUGUGGAGGUGAUGCCCUUGUGUUUGACACUGAAAUGCAGAGUCUUGCUGUGAUUGAGAAGCCGGCAGACAAGAACGCUAUCAGUGACUGGUCUUUUCAGCUCUUACGGAUGGAGGAUGGUGGACUAGGCCUCGCUGCUUUGUCGGGACUGACCGUCCAAUUAUGGGAAAGGAAACUUAACUGUGACGGUGUUGUCGGAUGGGUGUUGCUGCAGAAAACCAUUCCUUUGGAGGGGUUGCUUCCAAGCACAAAGCCUUUGGUAUUUAUCGUGGGGUAUGAUGAGGACACAAAUGCGAUUGUUCUGUCUACGGGGAUUGGCAACUUCAUGAUCGAACUUGACUCAAUGCAGAUCAAACAUAUCAUUAAAAGAAAUGCCAUGUGUAUCGACAUGUUUUAUCCCUACCAUAAUUUCUACACUGCAGGCAGGGGAGUUGGGUGGAAAUGGGUGGAACUGGAACUUUGA
rnacentral:rRNA from 1 species